rnacentral:rRNA from 1 species
CGGGAGGCAGCAGUGGGGAAUAUUGCACAAUGGGCGCAAGCCUGAUGCAGCCAUGCCGCGUGUAUGAAGAAGGCCUUCGGGUUGUAAAGUACUUUCAGCGGGGAGGAAGGUGUUGUGGUUAAUAACCGCAGCAAUUGACGUUACCCGCAGAAGAAGCACCGGCUAACUCCGUGCCAGCAGCCGCGGUAAUACGGAGGGUGCAAGC